AACCUGGUUGAUCCUGCCAGUAGUCAUACGCUUGUCUCAAAGAUUAAGCCAUGCAUGUCUAAGUAUAAGCAACUUA
rnacentral:ncRNA from 1 species